rnacentral:rRNA from 1 species
AUUGAACGCUGGCGGCAUGCCUUACACAUGCAAGUCGAACGGUAACAGGUCUUCGGAUGCUGACGAGUGGCGAACGGGUGAGUAAUACAUCGGAACGUGCCCGAGAGAGGGGGAUAACGAGACGAAAGCUUUGCUAAUACCGCAUACGAUCUCAGGAUGAAAGCAGGGGACCGCAAGGCCUUGCGCUCACGGAGCGGCCGAUGGCAGAUUAGGUAGUUGGUGGGAUAAAAGCUUACCAAGCCGACGAUCUGUAGCUGGUCUGAGAGAACGACCAGCCACACUGGGCCUGGGACACGGCCCAGACUCCUACGGAGGGCAGAAGGGGGGAAUUUUGGACAAGGGGCGAAGGCCUGUUCCAGCCAUGCCGCGUGGAGGAUGAGGGCCUUCGGGUUGUAAACUGCUUUUGUACGGAACGAAAAGACUCGGGUUAAUACCUGGGGUCCAUGACGGUACCGUAAGAAUAAGCACCGGCUAACUACGUGCCAGCCGCCGCAGUAAUAC